AAAAAAACAAGAACAUUUCAAAGCGAUUCAACAUUUUAUCUGAGAAGUGACUUUGGAAAAUUCGCAUAUCGAAGCGAAAAUAUAAAUCAGAGAUAAGUCGGUUGCUGUUGGAAUAAUUGUCCAGCAUGCCGUUGUAAAUGUUGAGAUCUUUUAUCUGGGCUCUGAAUGUAUUAAUAAAUUCAACUCAAAAUUUUGCAUUUGAAUUGUUAGCGCCUUGCCAAACGAUGAAGAAAAAAAAAUCGAAAGAAAGAAACACUAUUUUAUUGAGAGUAAAGAACUUGAUGAGAAUUUCAACUAUUUAACCUUGAAUCGGUUACAAAUUCUCUAUUUUUUUGCCAAAUUUAUUGAACACUUUACUAUCUCUACGGCGAAAACAUUAUU